AUUGAACGCUGGCGGCAUGCCUUACACAUGCAAGUCGAACGGAUUGAAGGGGCUUGCUCCUUCAGUUAGUGGCGAACGGGUGAGUAAAGCAUCGGAACGUACCCAGUCGUGGGGGAUAACGUAGCGAAAGUUACGCUAAUACCGCAUACGAUCUGAGGAUGAAAGCGGGGGAUCGCAAGACCUCGCGCGAUUGGAGCGGCCGAUGUCGGAUUAGCUAGUUGGUGGGGUAAAGGCCUACCAAGGCGACGAUCCGUAGCUGGUCUGAGAGGAUGAUCAGCCACACUGGAACUGAGACACGGUCCAGACUCCUACGGGAGGCAGCAGUGGGGAAUUUUGGACAAUGGGGGAAACCCUGAUCCAGCCAUGCCGCGUGAGUGAAGAAGGCCUUCGGGUUGUAAAGCUCUUUCAGUCGGAAAGAAAAGUCGUCGGUUAAUACCUGGCGGCGAUGACGGUACCGACAGAAGAAGCACCGGCUAACUACGUGCCAGCAGCCGCGGUAA
rnacentral:rRNA from 1 species